CCAGGCUUUUCUAGGUACCUGUUGCAGGUCCCUCGGGGAGAUGUGUCUCCUCAGUCAGGAGCAGUCCUGUCCCAGUCUGCUCACACAUAAGGAGAUCAAAAGUGGCUCUACCCAAGGUGGUGGGUUGGAAUUUUAGCUUGCUUUUGCUUGCCUGAUGUAUCAUCACCUUUGACCAUGAGCUUUUAGAAGAGUCGACAAGAGCUGCCUGGAACAGGUGCUGUUAUAAACACAGAGGCCAUGGAGAAGCAACGUGAGCUGUGCAGAGGUAUACCAAAGCGAUACAUUAGAGCAUGGAUCUCGUAGGUACAGCCUUUAUUAGUAGUAGCAGUCUGAAACAGCUGAAUCAGUUAUUUAGUUUAUGAUGGGCCCUGGAGUUCUAGGAACUGCCUGUUACUGCAAUGUGGAAAAACCAACUCCUGGCCUAAAUGCCAAGUGGUGUCCUGCCCCUCUGCCCCUAGCGAGGAGGUAGCACUUUGAAAAGGGCCAGCUGCAGUGGUAUAAGGGGGAUAUAAUGUUGCGCUGCACUGGCCAGGAUGAGACUUGGGUUUCUCAGGUGUUGGGAGGGGCCAUAGAGCUCCUAAGAGUUUGUCUUUGGCUAUCAGGGCAGAUAGAAAAAAGACAUCAGGUGGGGUCACAGCUAGGUGAGCUUGAGCUUGGACUUGGAGUGGGGCAUACUGCAGUCACUAUGGGAGGUGAUGGGGGGUGGUUCUCAGGCCAAUGGAUUUGCUUCCAGGGGAAUUAUGGCCAUUUGUGCUGUGUCAUACAGGAUUCCAGGGAAGUGGGAGGAAAGCUGGCAGCAACAGGCCUCACCCAGCCCCCAUGUUGCCAGCACAGCCAGUCUUGCUCCUCUUGCUGUGCCCCACCAACAGCAUUGAGUUUAUAUCCAGGGAGAGGGUGUGCAGGGCUGAGAACUUGCCCCAGGCUACAAGCCUCCCCCCUGACAAAGCAAGGUAAGCCUCUUGAGCACUUCAUGAACCAUUGACUGUGGCUUCUACUUGUAUCUGCACUGCCUGUUCACCUCUCUGGAUUCUGCUCAGGAAAAUUAGUGCUCAAUUACUACAAACUUUGGAUAGAACUUCCUUCACCCUGUGGCCCCUCUCUAAUUUCACUGGCUGCCUUUCCCCAGGACCGAGAGGACCAGGAAUGGCUUCCCUGGGUUUGAGCUGGGGACUGGUAGUGCCUACAGGACUAUUACAGCUGCCUCUCCUGUUUUAGUAUUUCACUCCACUCCCUAGGCCAGUUUUUGCUCUAGGAAAGGUUAAAUCCUUCUACUGUGAUAUGAAUUUUUGGGUUCCCCAGCAGGGAUGUGUGUUCUCCUCACACUUGGGAAACUCAGUUUUUUUGGCUGCCUUGUAGAGUGUGCAGCAGCAAGCUGCUUCUUUCAAAGGGUCUGAAUUAUUUUCCUGGUGUGUUCCUGCCGUGGCUCGUGGGGUAAAAACUCAGGAUAUGA